ensembl:lncRNA
GCCACUGGCGCCUCGCGCGGCGCCUACGUCAUGGCGUCGCGCACGCGCGCAGGAGACCCGGGCGGCGCCACCGCGCGGCCUUCUGGGACUCGUAGUUCUAGCGCUGGGCGGAGGCCUCGCCAUCCCCGCACCUCAAGCCCUGAAGGUGCCAAGUCCCAGGAGCUGCUGGAACAUGAAGACUAUCAGAUGAUUCUUAAGCAGCUCAUGGAAGAGGGGACAGAUUAAUAGCCCAUCCUCCUCCUGACCACCAUCAGUCCAUUAUUUUUUGUGUGUGGAAUUUUUUUAAUUGAAGUAUAGUUGAUUUACAAUGUUGGGUUAUUAAUAGCUUCAAGUGUAUAGCAAGGUAUAUAUACACACAUAUGUAUGUGUGUAUGUGUGUAUAUAUACGUAUACAUAUAUAUUUUUUGUUUCCGAUUCUUUUCCAUUAUAGGUUUUUACAAGAUAUUGAGUGUAGUUCCCUGUGCUAUACAGUAGAUCCUUGUUUGCCUGAUUUAUAUAUAGUAAUGUAUAUAUGUCAGUUCUAAACUCCUAAUUUGUCUCCCCCACCCCACCCCACUAGGGCUUCCCUGGUGGGCUCAGAUGGUAAAGGUAGGAGACCCGGGUUCAAUCCCAGAAUUGGAAGGUGCUCUGGAGAAGGGAAUGGCUACCCACUCCAGUAUUCUUGCCUGGAAAAUUCCAUGGACAGAGAUGCCUGGUGGGCUACAGUCCAUGGGGUCGCAAAAAGUCAGACACAACUGAACGACUAACACUUUCACCCCACCCUGCUAUUCCCUUUGGUAACCAUAAAUUUGUUUCCUGUAUCUG